GGGCGCGUAGCUCAGCGGGAGAGCGCUUGCUUCACACGCAAGAGGUCGUAGGUUCAAAUCCUGCCGCGCCCACCA
rnacentral:tRNA from 2 species